UUUCCGUAGGUGAACCUGCGGAAGGAUCAUUAUUGAAUAAACCUGAUGUGGUUGUAGCUGGCCCUUUCGGGAGCAUGUGCACACCCGUCGUCUUUAUCUUUCUACCUGUGCGCCUUUUGUAGACCUGGAUGUAACACUUUCCGAGGCAACUCGGUCGGGAGGAAUGCUGUCAGCUUUCCUUGAAUGUCCAGGCCUAUGUUUUCAUAUACCCCAAAGAAUGUAACAGAAUGUAUUAUUGGGCCUUGUGCCUAUAAACUAUAUACAACUUUCAGCAACGGAUCUCUUGGCUCUC
rnacentral:misc_RNA from 1 species